rnacentral:rRNA from 1 species
AGCCCAGAGCCUGAAUCAGUGUGUGUGUUAGUGGAAGCGUCUGGAAAGGCGCGCGAUACAGGGUGACAGCCCCGUACACAAAAAUGCACAUACUGUGAGCUCGAUGAGUAGGGCGGGACACGUGGUAUCCUGUCUGAAUAUGGGGGGACCAUCCUCCAAGGCUAAAUACUCCUGACUGACCGAUAGUGAACCAGUACCGUGAGGGAAAGGCGAAAAGAACCCCGGCGAGGGGAGUGAAAAAGAACCUGAAACCGUGUACGUACAAGCAGUGGGAGCCUCUUAAUGGGGUGACUGCGUACCUUUUGUAUAAUGGGUCAGCGACUUAUAUUCUGUAGCAAGGUUAACCGAAUAGGGGAGCCGAAGGGAAACCGAGUCUUAACUGGGCGUUAAGUUGCAGGGUAUAGACCCGAAACCCGGUGAUCUAGCCAUGGGCAGGUUGAAGGUUGGGUAACACUAACUGGAGGACCGAACCGACUAAUGUUGAAAAAUUAGCGGAUGACUUGUGGCUGGGGGUGAAAGGCCAAUCAAACCGGGAGAUAGCUGGUUCUCCCCGAAAGCUAUUUAGGUAGCGCCUCGUGAAUUCAUCUCCGGGGGUAGAGCACUGUUUCGGCAAGGGGGUCAUCCCGACUUACCAACCCGAUGCAAACUGCGAAUACCGGAGAAUGUUAUCACGGGAGACACACGGCGGGUGCUAACGUCCGU